rnacentral:rRNA from 1 species
UACGAAGGGGGCUAGCGUUGCUCGGAAUUACUGGGCGUAAAGGGCGCGUAGGCGGAUAUUUAAAUUAGAGGUGAAAGCCCGGGGCUCAACCCCGGAAUUGCCUUUAAGACUGCAUCGCUUGAAUCCGGGAGAGGUGAGUGGAAUUCCGAGUGUAGAGGUGAAAUUCGUAGAUAUUCGCAAGAACACCAGUGGCGAAGGCGGCUCACUGGCCCGGUACUGACGCUGAGGCACGAAAGCGUGGGGAGCAAACAGG